UUUCCGUAGGUGAACCUGCGGAAGGAUCAUUCAUAAUAAAGUGUUUUAUGGCACUUUUUAAAAAUCCAUAUCCACCCUGUGUGCAAUGUUAGAUCUCGUCAAUCUUGGCGAGAUUUUUAUACAUCAACUCAUUCUUUAACUAAUUUGUCUGAAUAAUAUUAUGAAUACUUAAUUCAAAAUACAACUUUCAACAACGGAUCUCUUGGCUCUC
rnacentral:misc_RNA from 1 species